GACGGGGGGGGCAAGUGUUCUUCGGAAUGACUGGGCGUAAAGGGCACGUAGGCGGUGAAUCGGGUUGAAAGUGAAAGUCGCCAAAAAAGUGGCGGGAAUGCUCUCGAAACCAAUUCACUUGAGUGAGGCAGAGGAGAGUGGAAUUUCGUGUGUAGGGGUGAAAUCCGUAGAUCUACGAAGGAAACGCCAAAAGCGAAGGCAGCUCUCUGGGUCCCUA
rnacentral:rRNA from 1 species